UGUUUGUGGUUUUUGUUUUGCUCUGUUGUACACGGGAUCAUUUAAAAAUGGUACCCCCAUUGCAUUCUUCUGCACCUUCCUUUUAGGAUCUCAGGACAGCAAACACGGACCUUUUCCUUUUUUAUCUCCUUAACACCCAGAAAGGUGUAUUGCUUUGGCUUCCUUGGAAGUGUCAGAUUCAACUGGAUCGAGAAUAACAAGUUGAGCUUAAUGUGUCUCAGAGCAAGACUCCUGCAUUAAGAACUUGUCACAGGUGGAGCAGAGAAGAUGAGCACUGUGCUAAAAUUUCCCUUACCUUCUCUAUCAAUGAAUGAGAAGAGAAAUUGCAUUCAAAAAUCACCAAAGGAGAGGGGAAAUCUCAGUGAAAUUCUCAUAGGUGGGGUGCAGGCGUUUUGUCACUCUUAUUGAGGUGAUUGAGAGGUGUCUGCAAGGAUCCUUUCUUUUGUUCUAGAAAUGGCCUAUUUAGUGGCCAACGUUAUGCAGCCUCCCUGGGUGCCCAUGCUUAGGAACAUAGGACACUGCCUCAAACACAUAUAUAUUUGGACGCUGAUUUAUAUUCUUAUGGUCAUCCUCCACAUGAAAGGCAGCUUUGCUGUCUGCUGCAUAUAUAAGGCUUACUUAGGUUUUGACUAGUUCCAGCUGAACUAUUUAAAAUUUUAAAAGAUGGUGCUGUUAAGGUGCUACACUCAAUAUGCCAGCAAGUUUGGAAAACUCAGCAGUGGCCAGAGGAUUGGAGAAGAUCAGUCUACAUCCCAAUCCCAAAGAAGGGCAGUGCCAAAGAAUGCUCCAACUACCGCACAAUUGCACUCAUUUCACACGCUAGCAAGGUUAUGCUUAAAAUUUUACAAGGAAGGCUCAAGCAUUCUGUAGACUCAGAGCUCCCAAAAGUGCAAGCUGGAUUUCGAAGGGGCAGAGGAACCAGAGACCAAAUUGCAAACAUGCGCUGGAUUAUGGAGAAAGCUAGAGAGUUCCAGAAAGACAUCUAC